rnacentral:lncRNA from 1 species
CCCUGUGUGAUUGUGGAAGGGAAAUUGUAAGUUUCUGAGGGCCUCGUACUGAAGGUUUUGUUUCCGUUGUUCUCUCCCACUCAGUAUUGUGUGUUUGUUUGUUUUAUGGUACUUGUUAAGCACUUACUCUGGGUCAAACACCGUACAAGUUAAUUAGGUUGGACACAGUCCCUGUUCCACAUGGAGGCUCACAGUUUUAAGUAGGAGGGAGAACAGAUUUUGAACCCCCAUUCUGCAAUUGAGGAAACUGGAGCACAAGUGACCUCCUCAAGGUAACACAACAAGCAAUUGAAGGAGCUGAGAUUAUAAUCGAAUCCAGGUCCUCUGACCCCCAAGCCCGAGUGCCUUCCACUAAGCCACACUGCUCCUGCUUGGCACUCAGUGGGCACUCAAUAAAAAGUACUGAUUGAUCGACAGGUGUCAGGCAUCACCCCUAUGACCCGGCCCCUCUGAUUCAGGACGAACCUCCGGCACGUGAUCGACUCCUAGCCCACAUGACAUUUGAAGAGCCACUCAAGAAGCAGAGAGCAAAGACCAACGGUCCCGUUGAGAACAGGGGAAAGAAGAGCUGUUGAAAAUGAAGGAGCUGGCUCUGUGAGGUAGGGAGCAAAAGAUGUGCACGUGGUAUUUGGAGGAAAAGGACACGGCAAAGAAACUAUCAGCAGAUGGUCAAGGGCUCUCCCUGGGGCUGGAUGCCAGCUUUAUCCUCGGAUUCCCAUGACUCUCUGAAAUAAAAUCCACGUUCCAUUGAAAUCCUCUGCCAGUUCCGCUUCAGACCCAAAUGUGCUUCCUGGUAGCUCUGGCCUGUCCUUUGGGCAGGGAGAGAAGGGAAACCGUCUGGUGUUACCAGUGACCCGUUUGGACAACAGGACUGACUCAGGAUCAUGGCUCGUAUCAGAUUAUGUCAAAUGAGAGGCUAGAGGAAAGAGCACGGGCCUUGGAGUUAGAGGAUCUGGAUUAAUCAUAACAGUAAUCAUGAUAAUUAUGGUACUUGUUAAGGGCUUACUAUGUGCCAAGCACUGUUCUAAACGCUGAGGUAGAUACAAGUGAAUCGGGUUGGACACAGUUUCUAUCCCACAAUCACACUCUUAUUCCCCAUUUUCCAGAUGAGGUAACUGAGGCCCAGAGAAGUGAAAUGAGCUA